GUUUAUGUAGCUCAGUGGCAGAGCACUGGUCUUGUAAACCAGCGGUCGUUCAAUCCUCACAGGAG